GAAAGUUGCAAAAUGGUUGGAUUCUAGCUGGAAGAAAGGCAGCAGAGAGUUCUGACCUCCUAUGAGGAAACAUAAGGAUCAGACCUCAGCUUGGGAAUGAAUGAGAGGCAUUUAUGAUUAUCGUAGAACUUGGCAGCAAUUACAAAAGCCUGUUCCAUGGUGGAAGCGACCGUGUUAAAUUUCCGUUCUUAUUUGCAUUUAUAAAAGUAAAAUAAAAGUAUUUCUGGGAUAGGAACAAUCUUUGUGAUUGGGAAAUGCCUCUUGGUCAUUAUUGCUCUUUUCACUCUUCAUAUAUUUUUCCUUGAUGGCUAUUGAAAUAGCAGAUAUUUUAAACAGAGAGAACAUUCAUCAUGGCGGAUUCUUGAAAUUGAAUCUGAUUCUUCCAGUGAAGUAGCCACUGCCAGAAAGUAAAUGAGACCUUUCUGGAAGCUCCACUAACAGUCCCACACGGCUCUGGUUUUAAACUAGAGUUUGGCAGGCCCAGGUCUCCGUGUCCUCAACCCUCUCCUCUCGCAUCUGGCCCAUCGGUGCCUGGGCAGGAGCUGGGGUACAGGCGGCUGAGGGUUCCUUGGGGAUCAUGCUGCUCUUUCCCAGCGGUAUCCCAGCAGCACCCUCAAUGCUGGUGUUGGCUUGGUGGGGGGGGGGGGGGCGCGCAGAGAUGACAGCCGUGUAGGUACCAGUGGUCUUGGACAUUUGCAUUGAUUGCUGUACUGGUGACAUGUUUUGUUCUUCAUGCAGAUUCCCCAAAAUAGAAGUUGCAGAAUUUGGCAGAAUGAUUAGGGUGGACACUUCAGGAAGAAGACUUCGGGUUGUUAGAGAGAAGCUCCCCCACCCCCUAAGCUGAAGAAGAAGCAUCCGCACACCCUGCUUCCACCUGGGGACUCCCAGAUUGCCACACAAUAGCACCUCCUAGAGGUGUCAGCAGUGGUGAGACCCGCCCUUCCCAGAGAGACUGUUUUCUGUGCCACUUUGUCUUGCCCUGGUGGUCACACUGUGUUGUGGCUGCAGCGAAAACCUUUUGUGUGUCAGACAUGAUGGGCAGCGUGGACAAGUCACACUGGUGCCCAACACCUCCCACCACUGAGCACUGUGAGGGCAGAGACUUGGUCUUCUUUGCAACCUAUCUCUACCCCCUCAAGUUGAGGAUACCUGUAUACCCACAAGGACAUACCAUCAGCGUGUAGUAAAUCUUGCUGAAUGACAGACAAAGUGACAUGUUGAGCAAGCAGAUGAUGAAAGUUUCUGACCUUAAAUGUGGACUAAUCAGAUAAGUGUAUUAGUGAUACAAGAAAUCACGGAAGACGCUGUGGGAGAAGAACUGAAACUUCUUCUAGAAAAUCCAUUAAUGACCAGAAUAGAUCUCUGGCUUUUUUCAUGUGCGUUAGAUAACAACCAUGGAGAAUUGAGAUUCCUCCAUUGUGGCUUCUGCCUUUCCUGCUCCACCAAAAUCGCUCUCUCCAAGCUAACCAGGAACCUCCAGCUUGCCACACCAGGGGGCAUUUCUGCCUCUUCUUACUGGCACGCUCCUCACGGGACCAGCUAAGCAUCCUUCUCUUGUACAUGAAAGAAAAUCCAACUGAUUGUAGCGAGAAGACCUUUUAGUUCCUCUAGAGAGGGAUCUUCAGAUGCCUCUGGGGGCUAUAGAUGGCCAGCUGAGGCCCAUCUCCGAACCAAGCAGGAGAAAGCAGCCAGGGGCCGCCUGGUUCUGAAGGUAGAUUGUAACUUAAUCCUCCAGCGUUCGGCGUCACCCUUGCCCUCCUCUUGUACUUGUGCUUAGAUUCCAGACCCUCUCUGACUUGUUUAUUCCAGACAAUGAACCUCUAGGUUCUUGGCUGGACAGGGGGCGGGAGAAAUGGGGGGCGGGGGGGGGGGAGAAUCUGUCGCGCCUGUUUGAGACGUUUCGCGGCUCUCCUUUGCAGCCUCCUCCUUCAUCCCCACCUUGCAGGGGAGGCGGUAUCUCCACACGCCAGGCCCCUGAGCUCUCCGAACACUUGCCAGUACUCCCCGCAGACUCUCCGGCAGCUCCCUCCCCGGCUGAGUCAUUACUCACCCUGCUUCUUGCAGACACUGACCUUCCUUGUCCCUAAUUUUCUCUUUUGCUCUUCUUGAUUGCUUCACUGUCAUGGUAGGGAUUUAGGAAGGAGUGUCAGUAAAAGCAUGUUUCAGUCCAUCAUAUUUAACCAGAAGUUCUUUGUCAUUCUUUAUAUUUUUGGAUGUUUUGAUUCUUUAGGAUUGUAUUCCCACAGAACAUCAGAAAAUAGAAAUUCUGCAUUUUUCAGUGACACCCAAUUUGCUCUACAAAAAGUAAAGCAUGAAGAUGAACAGAUUGAAGCAUGGAGAAGUAAUCUGCCCAAAUCCACACAGCUCAACUAGGUGUCCUGAGUUGCAGCUGUUGACCACUGUGCCAUAUGCCAAGUUGCAACAUCUUUGUAUGUCACGAACUUGUUAAAGACC